rnacentral:rRNA from 1 species
UACGGAGGGGGCUAGCGUUGUCCGGAUUUAUUGGGCGUAAAGAGCGUGUAGGCGGCCAGGUAGGUCUGGUGUGAAAACUCGAGGCUUAACCUCGAGAUGUCAUCGGAAACCAUCUGGCUAGAGUCCGGAAGAGGAAAGUGGAAUUCCUGGUGUAGCGGUGAAAUGCGCAGAUAUCGGAAGGAACAUCAGUGGCGAAAGCGACUUCCUGGACCAGUACCGACGUUCAGGCACGAAAGCGUGGGGAGCAAACAGG